AUUGAACGCUGGCGGCAGGCCUAACACAUGCAAGUCGAGCGGUAGCACAGAGAGCUUGCUCUCGGGUGACGAGCGGCGGACGGGUGAGUAAUGUCUGGGAAACUGCCUGAUGGAGGGGGAUAACUACUGGAAACGGUAGCUAAUACCGCAUAAUGUCGCAAGACCAAAGUGGGGGACCUUCGGGCCUCAUGCCAUCAGAUGUGCCCAGAUGGGAUUAGCUAGUAGGUGGGGUAACGGCUCACCUAGGCGACGAUCCCUAGCUGGUCUGAGAGGAUGACCAGCCACACUGGAACUGAGACACGGUCCAGACUCCUACGGGAGGCAGCAGUGGGGAAUAUUGCACAAUGGGCGCAAGCCCGAUGCAGCCAUGCCGCGUGUGUGAAGAAGGCCUUCGGGUUGUAAAGCACUUUCAGCGGGGAGGAAGGCGUUAAGGUUAAUAACCUUGGCGAUUGACGUUACCCGCAGAAGAAGCACCGGCUAACUCCGUGCCAGCAGCCGCGGUAAUACGGAGGGUGCAAGCGUUAAUCGGAAUUACUGGGCGUAAAGCGCACGCAGGCGGUCUGUCAAGUCGGAUGUGAAAUCCCCGGGCUCAACCUGGGAACUGCAUUCGAAACUGGCAGGCUAGAGUCUUGUAGAGGGGGGGUAGAAUUCCAGGUGUAGCGGUGAAAUGCGUAGAGAUCUGGAGGAAUACCGGUGGCGAAGGCGGCCCCCUGGACAAAGACUGACGCUCAGGUGCGAAAGCGUGGGGAGCAAACAGGAUUAGAUACCCUGGUAGUCCACGCCGUAAACAAUGUCGAUUUGGAGGUUGUGCCCUUGAGGCGUGGCUUCCGGAGCUAACGCGUUAAAUCGACCGCCUGGGGAGUACGGCCGCAAGGUUAAAACUCAAAUGAAUUGACGGGGGCCCGCACAAGCGGUGGAGCAUGCGGUUUAAUUCGAUGCAACGCGAAGAACCUUACCUGGUCUUGACAUCCACAGAACUUUCCAGAGAUGGACUGGUGCCUUCGGGAACUGUGAGACAGGUGCUGCAUGGCUGUCGUCAGCUCGUGUUGUGAAAUGUUGGGUUAAGUCCCGCAACGAGCGCAACCCUUAUCCUUUGUUGCCAGCGGUUAGGCCGGGAACUCAAAGGAGACUGCCAGAGAUAAACUGGAGGAAGGUGGGGAUGACGUCAAGUCAUCAUGGCCCUUACGACCAGGGCUACACACGUGCUACAAUGGCAUAUACAAAGAGAAGCGACCUCGCGAGAGCAAGCGGACCUCAUAAAGUAUGUCGUAGUCCGGAUUGGAGUCUGCAACUCGACUCCAUGAAGUCGGAAUCGCUAGUAAUCGUAGAUCAGAAUGCUACGGUGAAUACGUUCCCGGGCCUUGUACACACCGCCCGUCACACCAUGGGAGUGGGUUGCAAAAGAAGUAGGUAGCUUAACCUUCGGGAGGGCGCUUACCACUUUGUGAUUCAUGACUGGGGUGA
rnacentral:rRNA from 1 species